AUACGUAGGGAGCAAGCGUUGUCCGGAUUUACUGGGUGUAAAGGGUGCGUAGGCGGCUCUGCAAGUCAGGCGUGAAAACCAUGGGCUUAACCCAUGGACUGCGUUUGAAACUGUGGAGCUUGAGUGAAGUAGAGGUGGGCGGAAUUCCCGGUGGAGCGGGGAAAUGCGUAGAGAUCGGGGGGAACACCAGUGGAGAAGGCGGCUUACUGGGCUUUAACUGACGCUGAGGCACGAAAGCAUGGGUAGCAAACAGGAUUAGAUACCCGGGUAGUCCAUGCCGUAAACGAUGAUUACUAGGUGUGGGGGGUCUGACCCCUUCCGUGCCGGAGUUAACACAAUAAGUAAUCCACCUGGGGAGUACGGCCGCAAGGUUGA
rnacentral:rRNA from 1 species